UUCCUUUGCCGUUUUCUCGACGCCCAUUGGGGGCGGCGAGGCGCGAGAUGCCGAGCUGCCGCGCCGGCGACUUUACCGGACGACGAUGACAUACUCUCCGAGAUCCUCCUCCGCCUACCGCCGCGGCCCUCCUCGCUCCCUCGCGCCUCGCUCGUCUGCAAGCGCUGGCGCCGCCUCGUCACUGAUCCCCAUUUCCGCCGCCGCUACCGCUCCCGCCACCCGAAUCCCCCACUUCUCGGCUUCUUCGAUGAAUCUGCACACUUCUCUUUCUUCAGAUCCGCGAUGGACCCGCCGGAUCUCAUCCCACCCAAGCGCUUCUGUCCGCCGAUCGCCGAUGAGACGGGCGGCUGUGACCCUAGCCAUUGGAGAAACUUCGGAUGUCGCCACGGCCACGUGUUCCUCUACAACCGGAAGCAGAAGGAGAUACCGAGUUGCCAUUCCACCGGAGUUGGAUAAGGAAGAGAGGAUGAUCUGGAGGGGCGCGGUACUCUGUCCAGCGACCACAGCCACGUCCACGGCGGUUUCUGCACCUGCCCCUUCAAGGUGGCCGUAAGGCCAGUGUCAAUGUAUCUAGAGAUUGAUGGCGCUGAACAGGUGGCUUAGUGGCCUAUCUUAUAACCACUUGGAAAUUGACUCUUCAUAUAGCAGCUACUUGUGAAUGGUAAGCGCUAGGGGAAUUUGUGGAGAAUAAUUGCUUGACAAUGAACUCCCAACCUGUUUCGAGGAUCUCUGUAGACAUUAGCAGUUGAGACUUGAUUAGUUAUAUGCAGUGGUAUUUAGAGGUUAGUUUGCUUAUGUGUUCCGAGCAUUUGAGCUGAACUCCUGUUAAGACUUUCUUUGAAAAGCCCUGUUAAGAUUUGAAGUUGACUAGCAGGUGCUCCUUAGUCCUGACUCCUGAGGAUACGAAGCCUAGACUCUCGAGUCUCACCUACUGCUUUGCAUUCUCUUGUUUUACUGUCCUCUUUUGGAGCC